CCAAUCACACUCUCUCCCGCGAGCGCACAGAACAGUGAAACAGCACAACGGACCGCUACAAUAAACUUGUUUCCCCGAAAUGCAGCUCACCUGACUGGAGCACUACAAUGGGCAUUUACACUUGUAACGGUUGAAAUGGGCAUUUAAACUUAUAACGGUGGGCGGCUUGAAACCGCCUGUGCUGAAUAACAUUGGCUGUUCCGUUUCACCCCCUCUGCGCUCAGGAUCCCGGAAGUAGCCGAGUGAGAUCAUGAUGGCAGGUGAGAAAACCCCUGCAUCAUGUUACUUGGAUGAGAGGACCUUCCGGCUUUGCUGUCGGCUCUUUCUCCAACACUCCGAGACUGUCCAGGAUGGCUGGAGCUGGGAGCAGAUCAAGGGCACCGAUGAAGGCUUCAUGAAGAAGACUGUUCUCAUCCCUGUAAAAUCAAGCGUGUUGGACAAACAUCACAGGUCUUUCAUGCAGGCUGAAAACAUGGACCCUCUUACAGAUGACAUUCAGGCAAACGUUGAGGAUGAAACGGCUGGAGUUCAGGCAGUAUGUGAAAUUCAUGCUGUGCUGCGCUAUGAAUACCACGUUCUGUAUUCUUGCAGCUAUCAGAUCCCCGUCCUCUAUUUCAGAGCCUCUACGUUAGAUGGGAAUCCUCUCUCUCUUGAGGAGGUGUGGAGCAAUGUUCAUCCGAACUAUAGACAGAGACUACAACAGGGACCCUGGGACACGCUGACCCAACAGGAACAUCCUUUACUGGGCCAACCAUUUUUCAUGCUUCAUCCAUGUCGCACUGAGGAGUUUAUGAAACCUGCUCUGGAUUUGGCACAGGCUGAAAACAAGAGGGUGAACUAUAUCGUGACCUGGCUGAGUGUUGUGGGCCCCGUCGUCGGGCUGGACGUCCCAUUGAGCUACUGCACUGAGGUGUCCGCUCCAGACUGAAGCUCCGCUGUUAGUGAUCUUCCUGUCUGUCUCAGACUCCACUGACCCAGAGGACGUGAAGAGGACACCAGUGACCCUGCUGAGGGUCUCUAAGAGGGUUCAAAAGUCUUGAAACAAUGCUUGAACAUCCAAGACACCAAGUCUUUAAGAGCCUUCUUGAGCUAGCUUUCUGACAUUUCUCUUCAUUACUCAUCCACGUAGCGUGCUGUGCCAGACCAGUUUAACAGUUGAAUGGAAUCGAAUCCCUCUGAAAUCCUGGCUUUCUGAAACGGAGGAGCUGAGUUUAGAGUCCAGAGUUUGAGAGAAGACGGUGAAAGUCCUCCGUCAGCAUGUCUAAAUGGGGCGCUCGUCUCUCAGGGGACUGUAUCAGUGUUGGUAAGGAGGUCAGCCUCCUACCCGGAGCAUCUCGCUCUAAUGGACGGACAGGAAUGAUGGAGAGGAGAGAGAGAAAUGCAUAGAUGGAUCACAGUGUAUGUUACCUGCUUAGGUCACCCCAAAAUGAAAAUCAAUGACUGUCAUGCUACAGAGUUCAAAUCUUUUCAAAUAAGCAUAUUUUAAAUUGGCACUACACAUUUGGUUUACAAGAUGUAAGAAACAAUGGUAUUUGGUUUCAUUUAUGCUUUUAACUGUCUGAUAUGAAGCUAUCAUAUGACUGUGACUGUCUGCUUUUAUCCUAGCUAACAAACAUAUAUGUUUUGCUAACGUUACCAUUAAGUUAUAUGUUAUUUUGAAUGUUUUAAUAAAAAUAUUUUUUUGUAAUACAAUGUUAGACAAAACAUUAAGGUUUAAGUUUUAGGUUUAACUUUAAGUUUCAGAAAAAUCCUUUUUUUUUUAUGUUGUUUUGAGAACAUUAAAGACCAGACAACUUUGAACAAACGGUCUGUUAAGAACUGGAAGAACCUGUGAAUGACUUUAAGAGAACAAAGUUAUGAGAACAUUCCUUGUUAGCCGGGAUGGUAUAGGCCUACUGUCCCCUUUUUGAACAAACAGGCCUGGUUAAUGUAUGUUGAAUGUGAACCUCUAAAAUUCCUCCUUUACAGCAUUACUUGCAAGAAAGAAAGAAGUUUGAAAUGACAUGAGCGUGAGUAAAUGAUAACAUCUUUUAAACUAUUCUGUUAAAUUAAUUCGGAGUAA